AACGCAAAUGGCGCUUUCUGGUAUCCCAGGAAGCAUGCCUGUUUGAGGACCGUAGGGAAGGCUACAUCAUCGUAAGGAAAAGGGGGGUGGUCAGACAAUUGACUUUUGCCCGCCCCCCCUCCUGGGGUGGACAGUGGAUUACCGGCGUCGAUAGGUGUCGAUGCUUGUGCUCCGCAAUUGAUUCACGGGUGGAAUGGAUUUGACUCCCCCAGGCCAGAAGUUAAUAGGCGAGAGUUUUUCUCAUCUUCCCCGGGUCCGGGGGGGAUAUAGGAAGUCGCUCUUUCUCUUUAACGGCCGACGAAUCUGGAGAAAAAACCGGAAACCCGUGAAAGCAAAGGGUGUGGUUUUGGGAACACUUCCCCCAAUCAAUCACACACCACCACCGAACAUGGUCUCAAAUCAGGCAAGAGAACCCGCUGAACUUAA
rnacentral:misc_RNA from 1 species